rnacentral:rRNA from 1 species
UCAGACGUGAAUACCUGCUGAACUUAAGCAUAUCAGUAAGCAGAGGAAAAGAAACUAACGAGGAUUCCCUUAGUAACGGCGAGUGAAA